rnacentral:rRNA from 1 species
AUUGAACGCUGGCGGCAGGCCUAACACAUGCAAGUCUUGCGGAUGAAGGUAGCUUGCUCCUGUAUUCAGCGGCGGACGGGUGAUUAAUGCCUAGGAAUCUGCCUGGUAGUGGGGGAUAACGUCCGGAAACGGGCGCUAAUACCUCAUACGUCCUGAGGGAGAAAGUGGGGGCUCUUCGGACCUCACUCUAUCAGAUGAGCCUAGGUCGGAUUAGCUAGUUGGUGGGGUAAAGGCCUACCAAGGCGACGAUCCGUAACUGGUCUGAGAGGAUGAUCAGUCACACUGGAACUGAGACACGGUCCAGACGCCUACGGGAGGCAGCAGUGGGGAAUAUUGGACGAUGGGCGAAAGACUGAUCCAGACAUGCCGCGUGUGUGAAGAAGGUCUUCGGAUUGUAAAGCACUUUAAGUUGGGAGGAAGGGCAGUAAGUUAAUACCUUGCUGUUUUGACGUUACCAACAGAAUAAGCACCGGCUAACUUCGUG